ACCACUUAUCUAUAGGAUGAUGUACUUAUGUUUAUCCAAAAGUUGGGAAACGUCCAAGGACCCUUAUUGCUAACAUGACGGAUGCACUAAUUGCUAAGUCCUUGGAUUUGUCAUCUUUAAAAAGCCAUCUGGUCCUAAGUUCCUGUUGUUUAUACAGCGUGGCAAAGACAAGGACUUAAAUCAUGGUCACUAGUUUAGCGAGAUAUGUAAAUGAGUUCCUGGAAUUGUAAUGAAUAUGUAAAUGAUUUCCCAGAAAGUUAAUGAAUAUGUAUGAGUUGCUUGUAUAAAGAGGGGACUGAAAAAUCCCCUCGGUGUGCAUGACUUUGGUGGAGCGAUCCCCCAUGCACCCAGCGCUGCAGAAUAAAGAUAACCUCCGCUUGCUUCUGUAUUGGUGGCUGAUUCUUCAAAUCCAUUUGGCACCCCAGAUGGGAGCUCCUCUGCUCGGCUGCGGGACCCAUUGAGAGCGGGGACUCCCUAGGGUACCCCCGGGGAUUUUCCCGCAGGGGCUCCUCAUCUCAUCUGGAUCACCAUGGGAGCAGACAAGGACUCCAUCUUGUGGAGCAAAGUUUCUCGGGCCUUGCCAGCCAGAGUCCUGGAGGGGCACAAGAGACUGGGAGGGGACACAGCCAGGUCAGCUGACCUGAACCAGCCAAAGAGAAUUAUGCCACCUAAUGAAGACAGACCAUCAAAACUUAUCUGAACUUACUUUCAAUAAAUGAAGUUUUGAAACAUUUUCAACAUGAACAUGGUGCAGGCACUUUAAUCAAACACCCAUCUCCAACCAUGAAUUUUUCAGUAUCACUGAGGUCAGUCCACACGACAUCAGGCCUGCUGUCAACACCUUUCUCAAAGGGGGGAAAGGAUCUUUGCUCAGGAGUUACAAGGGCUAAUUGAAAGAGCUUUAAACUAGACCUGAAGGGGGAAGGGGAUAAACCCAAGCCUGCUAGAGAUAAGCCUGGGGGUGGCACAUCGAGGACUGAGGGAUGGUGUGCUAGAGAGGUCCUUCACGGUCUGCUCGACAAUGUGCUGAAUACACUGGAGCACAUUUGAAAUGUCCCUGUACUAAUGCAUGCAGCAACUUAGCCAUCUCAGUGGAGGCAGGGGAUGGAGAUCCAUGCGGCAGCAAAGAUGCAAGGGUUGUCGAUGAGUUAGAAACCAUGGAAGCACCUGGGAACGGUCACAUAGGAAUUAGGGCUUCUCCCCCAAAAAGGUGGUGGGAUCAACAGACCAACUGAAGAGCAUCUACACCAACAGGAGGAGUUGGAAGUCAUUGUGCAGCAGGAAAACUCUGAUGUAAUUGCAAUCACAGAAACCUGGUGGGAUGACUCACACAACUGCAGUGCUGCAAUGGAUGGCUAUAAAUUCUUCAGAAGGGAUAGGCUAGGAAGGAGAGGUGGUGGGAUACCCCUGUAUGUUAGGGAGUGUUUUGAAUGUCCAGGGUUAAUGAUGGUGAUGAUAGGGUUGAGAGUUUAUGGGUAAGAAUCAGGGGAAAGGCCAACAAGGCAGAUAUCAUGGUGGGAGUCUGUUAUAGACCACUCAACCAGGAGGAAGAGACAAACAAAAUAUUCUAUAAGCAGCUGGGAGAAGUCUCACAGUUGCUAGCCCUUGUUCUCAUGGGGGACUUCAACUUACCAGAUGACUGCUGGAAAUACAAUAUAGCAGACAGGAAACAGUCUAAGAUGUUCCUGGAGUGUGUGCAAGAUAAUUUCCUGACACAGCUGGUGAGGGAGCCAGCUAGGGAAGGGGCCUCACUGGACCUGUUAUUUGCAAACAGAGAAGGACUUGUGGGUGAUGAGAUGGUUGGAGGCUGUCUUGGGCACAGUGAUCACAAAAUGAUAGAGGUUUCAAAUCUUGGAGAAGUAAGGAUGGGAGGUCAGAAGAACUUCCACCUUGGACUUCUGGAGGGCAGACUUAGACCUGUUUAGGGGCCUGGUUGACAGAGUCCCUUGGGAGGCAGUCCUGAAGGGCAAAGAACUCCAGGAAGGCUGGGCAUUCUUCAAGAAGGAAAUCUUAAAGGCGUAGGAGCAGGCUGUCCCCAUGUGCCAAAGGAGGAGACAGCAGGGAAGAAGACCAGCCUGGCUGAACAGAGAUCUUUGGCUGGAACUCAGGGGAAAAAAGUGAGUUUAUGACCUUUGGAAGAAGGGGCAGGCAACUCAGGAGGACUACAAGGAUUUUGUGAGGUUAUGUAGGGAGAAAAUUAGUAGGGCCAAAGGCCAACUAGAACUUAAUCUGGCUACUGCAGUAAAAGAAAAUUAAAAAAGUUUCUAUAAAUACAUAGCCUGCUGAGCUGGAAGACAGAGAUGGGUAGCAGAAUGAAACCACCAUAAUCUGAAGGGAAAUGGUUAGUGACCUACUACACCACUUAGACACACACAAGUCUAUGGGGCUGGAUAGGAUCCACCCAAGGGUACUGAGGGAGCUGGCAGAAGUGCUCACCAAGCUUCUUUCAAUCAUUUAUCAGCAGUCCUAGCUAACCAGGGAGGUCCCAGUUGACUGGAGCUUAGCAAAUUUAAAACCCUUCUGUCCUAGUUUCAGCUGGGAUAGGGUUAAUUUUCUUCUUAGUAGCUGGUGCAGUGCUGUGUUUUGGCUCUGAUGUGAGAACAAUGCUGAUAACACACUGAUGUUUUCAGUUGUUGCUGGGUGAUGUUUAUACUAAGUCAAGGACUUUUCAGUUUCUUGGGCCCUGCCAGCCAGAGGGCUGGAGGGGCAUGGGAAAUUGGGAGGGGACACAGCCAGGACAUGUGACAUGAACUAGCCAAAGAGGUAUUCCAUACCAUAUGACAUCAUGCUGAGUAUAUAAGCUGGGGGAAGAAGGAAGGUGGGGACAUCUGGCGUUAUGGCAUUUGUUUGUCUUCCCGAGUAACCGUUACGCCUGAUGGAGCCCUGCUUUCCUGGGGAUGGCUGAACGCCUGCCUGCCCAUGGGAAGUGCUGAAUGAAUUCCUUGCUUUGCUUUGCUUGCAUGGCUUUUGCUUUACCUAUUAAAUUGUUCUUAUCUCAACCCUUGAGUUUUACAUUCCUUUCUGAUUCUCCUUCCCAUCCCUCUGGGUGAGGGGGAGUGAGCUAGUGGCUGCGUGGUGCUUGGUUGCCAGCUGGGGUUAAACCACGACACCAUCUACAAGAAGGGACAGAAGGAGGACCUGGGGAAUGACAGGCAUCUCUGUCUGAGUUGGGGAAGGUUAUGAAACAGAUCAUCUUGAGUGCCAUCACAUGGCAUAUACAGGACAACCAGGAGAUCAGGCCCAGUUAGCAUGGGUAUAGGAAAGGCAGGUCCUGCUUGACUAAUCUGAUCUCCUUCUAUGAGAAGGUGACCCGCCUAGCAGAUGAAGUAAAGGCUGUGGAUGUUGUCUACCUGGACCUUAGUAAAACCUUUGACACCAUCUCCCACAGCAUUCUCCUGGAGAAACUGGCUGCUCAUGGCUUGCACAGGUGUACUCUACACUGGGUUAAAAGCUGGCUGGAUGACUGGGCCCAAAGAGUGGUGGUGAAUGGAAUUAAAUCCAGUUGGCAGCAGGUCACAAGUGGUGUUCCCCAGGGCUCAGUAUUGGGGCCAGUUCUUUUUCAUAUCUUUAUCAAUGAUCUGGACGAGGGGAUUGAGUGCACCCUCAGGAAGUUUGCAGAUGACACCAAGUUGGGCGAGAGUGUUGAUCUGCUUGAGGGCAGGAAGGCUCUGCAGAGGGAUCUGGACAGGAUGGAUCGAUGGGCUGAGGCCAGUUGAAGGGUCUGGAGCACAAGUCUUAUGAGGAGUGUCUGAGGGAACCAGGAUUGUUUAGCGUGGAGAAAAGGAGGCUCAGGGGAGACCUUAUUGCUCUCUACAACUACCUGAAAGGAGGCUGUAGCAAGGUGGGUGUCAAUCUCUUCUCCCAGGUAGCAGGUGAUAGGACAAGAGUAAACGGCCUCAAGUUGCAUCGGGGAGGUUUAGAAUGGAUAUUUGGAAAAAAUUUCUUCACCAAAGGGGUUGUUAAGCAUUGGAAUAGGCUGCCCGGGGAAGUCACCAUCCCUGGAGGUAUUUAAAAGACAUGUAGCUGCGGUGCUUUGGGACAUAAUAUAGUGGUGGAUUUGGCAAUGUUAGGUUUACUGUUAGAUUCAAUAAUAUUAAGGUUAUUUUACAACCUAAAUGAUUCUAUCAUUCUAUAAUCACAGUUAAAAGGGUGAGGCCUACCAGCAACAUUUCAUGAGCAAGUGGAUUCAGUGUGUUCAACCACAUGUGAAGACAGACACAGCAUGACUGACUUUUUAAGAUAUGAUAAUAAUAGUAAACAUUUACAUCUUUUCAACCCUAAAGCUGUUAGUUUUAUGUGAUGGUGUGCUUCCCCCCCCCCCCCCCCCCCCCCUUAUUUUCAUAAAAAUGCUCAGGUGAUAACCAUCGGUCACGGUCAUGGUAGUUGGAUGGGUUUUGCUGUGAUGGCUGCAUCCACUCAAAGUGGAUUCCGGGGACACAGAUAAUGACAUGAUAGCCAAGGGCUAAUUUGAACAAUACACCCACCUAACCACAGUGCUGGUCACAGUCAGACUCAAGCAAAGUGUGAAAGAAACUAACUUCUGUAGUCGGUAUGCAAAUAUGACUGAGUCAAUUAUCUUGCUCCGUAAAUAGUGGACAGCCCAGGGCCCAUUAAACUCUCCUGCACCACAGCAGGCUACAUGCCAGGAUCUCCCCUUGAGUAGGAAUGCCUCUCAAGGUUACUUUUCGAGGUUUAGAGAUUCCUUGCCGCAACAGAUUCUGGGUGAUUAGUAGCAUGCUAAACUUUGAAAUCUUAGCUAAGUGGUAUAAAGGAUUGAUUGUAUAUAUAUAAUACUUCAGAUAUAAACUGUUGACCAAAUUUGAGACUAAGUCUGGAUCUACCUGCACCUAAACUCCUCUCUGAGAAGUUGAGAACACAUGGGGGUUCUUUCUGAACCUCAUGACUCAACGGGAGGGUCUCCCUGACAGCUCUGUCUGACCCUGUCCUCUAUGCAGUAAAUAAUCAAAUAUACCUUGCCAUCAAAUCUUGUUAAACCACUGUUGCAUUUAUUAUCAAAUUUUGUUAAAUCACUGUUUUAUACCAAUAAACAUAUGGCUACUUGUCUUUUACAAGUGAAGUGCAUCACUCCAUCCAUGACAGUUUAAUGCAAAAAUGUAUUUUCCUGAAAGAUAGUUCGUAGGUAUGACCCUCUACAAAAUGGUCUGUCUUAUACACAUACACUGACAGUUCAAGUUAAAAUAAAACUAAAUAGUCUUAUUAAAUAGACUUAGUCAUAAGCUUUGGUUAAUUAAAUUCAUUAUAUUUAUGUCCUUUGGGGUCUGUUUCUUCUGAAAUUGGGUGGAGCUACCCUUACCGGGUGGUCGUUGGGGUUUGGUGGGAGAGUUCUGUUAGUUUUCUUUUUGCAAAAAAUUGAACUGGCUGAUGAGACUACCCAAAACAAGCAGUAAUUUUGACCAUGUGGUAGAAAACAAUAAGCUCUGAAAGGGAAGGGGCUUUUUAUGCACUUUUAAAAAAUACAUACAACUUUAAUGUCUCCCAACUCCACAUAAGCAAAAUGUUAAAGUAGUUGUAGCAGAAUUUUUUCCUACAUCAGAGUUGCCAGACUAACUGAGACAAACAUCCUCUUUGGUAACACACAGUACAGUAAAUGGAAUCAAUUUCCAGUGUAGUAACACAAGCUGUGAGCAAAGCUAAACGUAAAGAAGUAUUGGUCACAUUUUCAAAAUCUCUGUGGAGGUUUGUGUCUCUCAGCUUCUUUACCACUGGCAGAAAGUUGAGGCAUGUUUACCAGUUUCCAGAACUAUCUAAUCUUAGUCUAAACUAAAGAGUGUAAAUCUAAGAUUAGUGGGAAGUUGAGUAGUAGGUGAAGAAAGCUGCACAACGUUCUUUUUAUUCUUAUCCCAUCCAAAUCUUACCUAACUGUCCCUCUCAGUUUAGAAUUCCUAUAUGGCUAUGAUAUGGAGAAAUAGUGUGAAAUGAGGACAAUGGACACCGACUGUGAUUGUAUAUUUCUGCUCAGGAAUGUGGGUAUGGUGACUAGUCAUGGGUGCGGUGUCUGGUCACAUAGGCACACAGCUCUGAGGAGACGACUACAGUUUUGAGGAGACGCCUGCCCCUCCUCCUCUAACAAAGGGGCUAUUUAAAAAAGAAUGAGAAAAGGAUGAGAGACAUUCCAAUGCUAUCAAGAGGGAGGGAGUGCUAAGUCUCCUUGCUGGAGAAGAUUGGAUGGUCACAAGAACAUGAAUCACCUACAGACCUGCAAGACCACCACAUUCCAGGAAACGGACUGAUAAGCUAAUUAACAUACGAAGCGGGGUUUAGGUAACGAAUAUGUAUAGGCGUUAAUUGAAUAUUCAUUUGUUUCAUUGUAUAAAUGUGAGAUUGUUCGUCACUUCGGGCAUGCACGCUUGUGGAGGAGCGAUCCCCCGUGCAUCUGCGCGCAAUAAACAUACCUACUUUAUAACUUUCGAGUUAUAGAGUCUAAUUCCGCACAUCAGCUAAAACCCAAAAAUUAACAGAAGGCUACAAAAUUGAAGUCAGCUGUAGAGGGAUUUUUAAAGGACCGAGGACAUAUGUUACCAUUGUCCGGGUUGGACAACCCAGGCCUGUUAGUUGAAGCUGCAGAGCAACUUUAAAUUGUCCUGGGAACAAGCAGUGGGAGAAAGAAAACAAGCUCUGCACAAACAAGAAGCCAGGUGCAGAGCAAGUCCUGGGAACCGCGAAAUCAGCACACUCUCAUCGGCACACUCUGAUCAGGCGCCUGCAGCAUGCUCACCGAUCAGCGACACGGACGCCCGCGUGACCAGAGACUUUUAUCCAAUCACCUGUGUGUAAAGUCUUGUGAGCGGUUGGUUUAAGUUAUAAAUAUGACCUGUUUGUUUAAUAAAGUGAGCACGGCAUGUA